CGAGACUAACAGCAGAUCACUUCGCAAGAGGCUAAGCGUUAGUACUGGCAGACAGCAGUCCACCUUUACACGUCCGUGGUUGCUCAAUCAUUCUGCCAAAUAAAAACCUUAACCCUCGCCUAACCUCCAAUGCAGAGUUAUCGAGUAAAAAGAAAAAAAAAAGUCCACACACACGAGCUUUCCGUGGAAUAAUUUUAAAAACUGUAUACAAAAGAAUAAAUAAAAGAAUCUGUUAGAAACCGAACCUACAACAUUUGCAUUCAAACACUCUUAUUGUCCACUGCACUCUAGCAGCUCCAGGACUAAUCAGUCACUAGUUCAUGCACUUCGAAUUACUGCAUAAAUUAACAGUCGAUACGAACACGCGUGGCAGAAACUGGUGGAGAAACAAGUAUAGCCGCUAACCUGGGGCGGAGUGUAUAGUCGAGCUAGCUGUAUGUUAGCAUCACACAGUCAGCCAAACUCAUUAUGAAUUUUAGCAGUUUAGCUAACUGCACGGCCCCUGGUCGACUAGCCACACUACUCCAUACACAUCCCGCUGUUUUGUUUUAGAGUUACAUCACAGUCAAGAACAGCGAGUUGCACACGUGCUACUACAUCAGCAUCUUGUCGUCACGGCACUCGGCGCUCGGGCUUGCUGUCCACGUCUACAAACAAGGUGUGUCAUCACUUCACGCGGAAUUCGUCGAGCAGCGAGUACCGUGGUCCUGGGUACUUCAUAACAUGCCGGGGUCAGAAUUCAGCUUCUGCACGUCUAACGAUCGUCACGUGCUGCUGCAGUCCCCAGAUCAACCCCCUGAGGGUCAAACCCCCGGAGAUCAACCGCCUGGAGGGCAACCAUCCGGAGAUAAACCGCCUGAAGGUCAACCACCCGAUCAAUCGCAUGGAGAUAACGCACCAGUAACUCCGAAGACACAGCAGAAAGUCUCCAGGCCCCCAGGAAGCAUGGACAACCCCCCGGUCGGUUGAGGCUAGACCACUGGACAAUGUUCUUCUGGACAGGUCGCUAGUUCAUAAACACUGCAGUGCUCGAAAAUUCCAGAAUUCCCCAUCCCUGUUCGUACUACAGUCAAAUCUCCCUACUAUGCCACCUACCGGGACCGAGCAAAAGUGGCAUAGUAGAGAGAGUGGCAUAGUAGAGAGGGUUCGUAAAAACGGCUUUAUUUGUUCAAGUUAC